UACGUAGGGCGCAAGCGUUAUCCGGAAUUAUUGGGCGUAAAGAGCUCGUAGGCGGUUUGUCGCGUCUGCCGUGAAAGUCCGGGGCUCAACUCCGGAUCUGCGGUGGGUACGGGCAGACUAGAGUGAUGUAGGGGAGACUGGAAUUCCUGGUGUAGCGGUGAAAUGCGCAGAUAUCAGGAGGAACACCGGAUGGCGAAGGCAGGUCUCUGGGCCACUACUGACGCUGAGAAGCGAAAGCUGGGGAGCGAACAGG
rnacentral:rRNA from 1 species